rnacentral:lncRNA from 1 species
GAAAUAAAUCAGACACACAAGCUUAAAUAUGAAAAAUCCAAAGUAUGAAUAAAGUGAAAAGCAAAAUAAAAGACAGAUAAAAGGAAACAGGGAGAUAGGGUUAGAGGACCAGAGGAGAAUUAAGGCCCAACUGGCCUCCUCUGUGAGAAAGGCCGCACUCGGGGGUGACCGCACAUUAGGGAAAAGUUAAGGCAGCUGAGGUUGAGUUGUUUACCAGAGCACGUGCUAGUGGCUAUUGGAGAGCCGAAGAACCUGGGGUCACCUUCACUGCUUGGGCCCGUGUUUGGGUGAAUAAAAGCGAGGUGAGCCAACCACUGCGGCUCCUCUGGCUGCAUGUUAAGCUGGCUCCGUGUCUCUUUGUCAUCCGUCCUCGUUCACCCCCAAGUCAGGGAGGAACAAAGUAGCCAGUCUAAGUCCCAGAGCAAAGCUGGCCAGGAGAGUUGGCUACAAGUGGCUCCCAAACUGAUGAUGUAAUAAUUCCAUGAAUCCCUCGCUCCACCUGAAGAACCAAGAUUAUGCAUUUUCCCCUCUGCCAAAUACACAAAGAAAGCAGGACACCAGAGUGGAAUCUGUGCAGUGGGAAAGGAGUCAAUUUCCUUCCCAUCAUGGGACCUCUCAGCAGGUUAUUUCAAGCUGUCUCAGCGAGCAUCGGUGUAUGUCAUCAGAAAAAUGCCUCACUGCUGAAUUAAUGUGCCAAAGGGAUCAGAAGCUCGUUCCUGACCCCGCUCUUGGACCCGCCUCCCUUCCAUUUGGAUUCAGCUCAAAAUAACUGAACUUGGACUGAACCAGUUAGGGACUCUCUUUGUAUCUGGCAGCUUAGAAAAGAAGAUUAAAACUUUAAACCCUACAGUUGCAGUUUCAUAAAACCAGGUUCUGCCUGGUUAAUUAACUUUAACCUCCACCCCUAGGUACUGCAUGUCUGUGUGGAUGGCUUUUUUUAAUCUUAAAAACAUGUGCUUUAGUCAAAUGACUUAUUAUUUAAAAUUUGUCUUAAGUAAUGCAUGCAAAUGGGUUUUUUAAUUAAAUGGAAUGAAAGGAUUUCAAAUGAGGAGUGAUUCUUCUCUUGUUUUUGACUCCCUACCUAGUUCUUUUCCAUAAAGACAAUAAAAGGUUCUAGAUUCCAAUAAAUCAUGC